rnacentral:rRNA from 1 species
UACGUAGGGUGCAAGCGUUAAUCGGAAUUACUGGGCGUAAAGCGUGCGCAGGCGGUUUUGUAAGUCUGUCGUGAAAUCCCCGGGCUUAACCUGGGAAUGGCGAUGGAGACUGCAAGGCUAGAGUUUGGCAGAGGGGGGUAGAAUUCCACGUGUAGCAGUGAAAUGCGUAGAGAUGUGGAGGAACACCGAUGGCGAAGGCAGCCCCCUGGGUCAAAACUGGCGCUCAUGCACGAAAGCGUGGGGAGCAAACAGG